AUUGAACGCUGGCGGCAGGCCUAACACAUGCAAGUCGAACGGUAACAGGAAGCAGCUUGCUGCUCCGCUGACGAGUGGCGGACGGGUGAGUAAUGUCUGGGAAGCUGCCUGAUGGAGGGGGAUAACUACUGGAAACGGUAGCUAAUACCGCAUAAUGUCGCAAGACCAAAGAGGGGGACCUUCGGGCCUCUUGUCAUCGGAUGUGCCCAGAUGGGAUUAGCUUGUUGGUGGGGUAACGGCUCACCAAGGCGACGAUCCCUAGCUGGUCUGAGAGGAUGACCAGCCACACUGGAACUGAGACACGGUCCAGACUCCUACGGGAGGCAUCAGUGGGGAAUAUUGCACAAUGGGCGCAAGCCUGAUGCAGCCAUGCCGCGUGUAUGAAGAAGGCCUUCGGGUUGUAAAGUACUUUCAGCGGGGAGGAAGGGAGUAAAGUUAAUACCUUUGCUCAUUGACGUUACCCGCAGAAGAAGCACCGGCUAACUCCGUG
rnacentral:rRNA from 1 species